rnacentral:sRNA from 1 species
UUUUCAGCCACAAAAAGUUACAAAAACCAGAGAAAAAACCAAAGAGGUGAAACGGAAAGAUACUGUGGCUGCAAAAUCGAAUUCCAAACGCAUUCUGAGCUUAUCGCAUAUGGAAUUCCUGUCAUGCACGACGACGACAACGACAACGACGACGACGACGAUGACGACAUUCCCCUCUUCAGUCUUCUGCUUGAAGCUGAUUCUUCUUCGGGUCCCGCCGUAGCCCCCAUCUUGGGGUUCUGUGUGUCUAAUUGCAAAUGCCAAACACGUUGACAGGGGCGGCAACGGCGAACGGCAACGAACGUUGUCAAGCAGCUCAGCCCAUGUACAUGGGGGAUAUAUUGUAUGUAAAUAAUGUACACGAGUACAUACAUAGGUACUCGUACAGCAACAAAUUGAACAAUACCCACAGACCCAACCCAUGUCGGAGCCCCAAAGCGUUUAAGGCUGCGUUUUAAGUUAGGGCCUCAGAAACACACAAUCUUUGUUGCACGAACAGACUAUUAUUAUGAGAUGAUCAAGCGUUUAACCUCAAUAGUUUUAAGAACGCACUGCAGAGACAUGCAACAGGUGCUCAUUCUUAUUUGUUUAUUGUUUAUUUGGGAAAUUGUGGCCCAAAAUUAAGAAAAUCCCUCAAUGGAAUCGGAUAACCUAUUUAGGCCCUCACCCACUUGGCCAGCGAAUGCAACCACCGCCCACACAACCGCUGAACCACUGAACCAUCAUUCUAUCUAUCUAUCUAUCUAUAAAACCCAUCGAAAUAUGCAGGCAUCCACGGGAGACAGCGAACAGGCAACAGCGGAGAGAUGAGAGUUCGUCGUCUGCCAGUUUCUGACCCACAUUUGCAUACAGUAAACACACACAGAAAACGAAAAACGAAACUGAAACUGAAACGUGUUGCGUUGGAGGGCGUGAGAAGCAAGGAGAGAGAGAGAGAGUCAAAAUGAAGGAACGGACAGCAGCAGACAGCAGCGGACAGCAGCGGACAGCAGCGGAAAGCAGCGGACAGCAUCCCCCCAACUGUACCGCUCUCAUUGGUGUACCCACUUCCAUUGUAACCAGCUUAGUCGUAACCGUUUUUACUGCGCCACCCACCCAUCCGUCCUGCGCUAUGACUUGUUUCUUACUGAACUUUGCCCCUUUUUAACCUAUGUAUGCACUCUUCCGCGAUCUAUCGCGAUCUCAUGCUAACCAAACACCUCACUUCUCCUGACUUCUUUACCAUUUGUACUAUCUAUCACUGUAAUGUUCCCAAAUGAUUGUGCCCUACCUCAUUGCAGCACAGUGUCUUGUACCCCGAUCGAUCACCUGUAUUCACUCUUUUUGUUGGUGUAUUUUGUUACAAAUAUUAAAUUAUGCGUAUAAAAUGUAUAUUUUUGUUGCUUGCUGGCUCUUUACCGCUUUCCCCCUAUGCCAAUAGCCAAGCGCUCUUCGUCCCCUCCCCCAUGCCACCAUUCUCAAGCGGUGUACCCCCCCCGCACCACGUAAGCCCAUACAAAAUGAAAUGAGCCAAAACCGCAAGAAAAACUGUUGCUGUUGCUGU